AUGGGCAUGGCAAUGGGGAUCAUGAGCUUGCCGUGGUCACUAGUGCUCGCUCUGACAAUCGCUGUGGUGAGCGCCGGCGACGAGGCCGCACUGCUUGCUUUCAGAGAGCAGAUCAGCGACGGCGGCUCGCUGGCCUCCUGGAACAGCAGCACCGGCUUCUGCAGCUGGGAGGGCGUGACGUGCAGCCACUGGACGCCGAAGCGGGCGGUGGCGCUGCGCUUGGACGGCAGGGCGCUCGUCGGAGCGCUCUCCCCAGCCCUCGGGAACCUCACGUUCCUGCGGACGCUCAACCUGAGCUUCAACUGGUUCCAUGGGGAGAUUCCAGCAAGCCUCGGCCGGCUCCGUCGCCUGCGGAGACUCGACUUGAGCGACAACUCCUUCUCCGGCACGUUCCCUGUGAACCUUAGCUCCUGCGUGAGCAUGACCGAGAUGAGACUGCGCAACAACAAGCUUGGCGGGCGCAUCCCGACCGAGCUCGGGGACAAGCUCGCGUCCCUGGAAGUAGUCUCGCUGAGAAACAACAGCUUCACAGGGCCCAUCCCGGAAUCGCUGGCCAAUCUGUCCUAUCUGCAAAACCUUGAUCUCGGCCUUAACCAACUCGUGGGCUCAAUCCCGCCAGGGCUCGGCACCCUCCACAACAUGCGGCAGUUCACUGUCGUCAGAAACAACCUCUCUGGUAUGCUUUCAGAUUCUCUCUACAACUUGUCAUCUCUGGAAGUACUUAAUGUAGGGGUAAACAUGCUGUACGGAAGCAUUCCGGAUGAUAUCGGAAGCAAGUUCCCCAUGAUCAAAACUCUUGCCUUGGGUGGAAAUCACUUCACAGGAACCAUCCCCUCCUCAGUAUCAAACAUUUCUUCCCUCGUAGCACUUGGCCUCGUGCAGAAUGGGUUUAGUGGGUAUGUGCCUCCCACAUUGGGGAAGAUGGGAGCUCUCCAAUAUCUGAACUUGGCUGAUAAUAAGCUUGAAGCGAACGACAACAAGGGGUGGGAAUUCAUCACUUCUUUGGCAAACUGCGGCCAACUGCAGAAAUUGAUACUCAGCAACAAUUCCUUUGGAGGACAACUACCAGGUUCAAUUGUAAACCUCUCGACAACUCUCCAACAGUUAUACUUAGAUGACACUAGGAUCUCUGGGAGUAUACCCGCAGAUAUUGGCAAUCUGGUUGGUCUCAGUGUGGUGCUAAUAGCAAAUACUUCCAUAUCAGGAGUUAUUCCAGAUAGCAUUGGUAAGCUAGAGAACUUGAUUGAGCUGGGCUUGUACAAUAAUACGUUGUCUGGCCUCAUACCGGCAUCUCUGGGAAAUCUUUCACAAUUGAAUAGGUUUUAUGCAUACAACAACAACUUGGAGGGACCAAUUCCAGCAAGCAUGGGGGAGUUGAAAAACCUCUUCGUACUUGACUUGUCAAAGAAUCACCGACUUAACGGUUCAAUUCCCAGAGAGAUUUUUAAAUUAUCCAGCCUAUCUUGGUACUUGGAUUUGUCAUACAAUUCAUUUUCUGGGCCCAUUCCUAAUGAUGUUGGUAGCUUGGCAAACCUUAACAUACUAAUUCUAGCAGGAAACCAGUUAUCUGGCAAGAUACCCGACAGUAUCCAGAACUGCAUAGUGUUGCAAUGGCUAUCAUUAGACAAUAAUUCCUUUGAGGGAAGCAUACCUCAGUCACUGAAGAAUAUAAAGGGGCUCAGUAUACUGAACCUGACCAUGAAUAAGUUAUCUGGUGAUAUUCCUGAUGCCCUUGCUAGCAUUGGAAACCUGCAGGAACUGUACCUAGCACACAAUAACUUGUCAGGGUCAAUACCAGUAGGUCUACAGAAUUUGACAUUAUUAUUUAAAUUGGAUGUAUCCUUCAAUAAUUUGCAAGGCGAGGUGCCAAAUGAAGGUGUUUUCCGAAACAUCACUUACUUAGCAGUUGAUGGGAAUGUCAAUUUGUGUGGAGGUACACCUCAACUUCAUUUGGCUCCAUGCUCCACAAGCCCCUUAAGCAAGAACAAAAAGAAGAUGCAAAAGUCUCUUGUAAUUUCUCUAGCAACAGCCGGAGCAAUCUUGUUGUCACUUUCACUUAUUGUUCUUGUUUGGAUACUUUGCAAGAGGCUCAAACAAAGCCACAAGACAUUAUCACAAAAUUUAAUUGUUGAUGACCAUUACCAGAGAAUUCCCUAUCAAGUAUUAUUGAGAGGAACUAAUGAAUUUUCAGAAGUCAACUUGCUCGGGAGAGGAAGUUAUGGAGCGGUUUAUAAGUGUGUCUUGGACAAUGAGGAAAGAACAUUGGCUGUCAAGGUGUUUAAUCUUGGUCAAUCUAGGUAUUCCAAGAGUUUUGAGACUGAAUGUGAGGCCAUGAGAAGGAUACGACACCGUUGUCUCCUUAAGAUCGUUACCUCUUGUUCGAGCAUCAACCACCAAGGUCAAGAGUUCAAGGCAUUAGUUUUUGAGUUCAUGCCCAAUGGUAACUUGGCUGAUUGGCUUCAUCCAAAAUCUAAAGAGCCAGCUACAAGCAACACACUCAGCCUUGCCCAGAGGCUUGAUAUUGGUGCCGAUAUUGUGGACGCAGUGGAAUAUCUGCACAACUACUGUCAACCAUCGGUAAUCCAUUGCGACCUUAAGCCAAGCAACAUUCUUCUUUCUGACAACAUGAGCGCCCGAGUUGGAGACUUUGGCAUAUCAAGGAUCCUUCAGGAAAAUACAAGCGGGGGAAUGCAAAAUUCAUAUAGCUCAAUUGGAAUUAGAGGCUCAAUAGGCUAUGUUGCUCCAGAGUAUGGAGAAGGCUUUGUGGUAUCCACUCAUGGUGAUAUAUAUAGCCUUGGCAUAUUGCUGCUUGAGAUGUUUACCGGAAGAAGCCCAACAGAUGAUACGUUUGGGGAUUCAUUGGAUCUGCAUACAUUUGUCGAGGAUGCUCUUCCGGAUAGAACCUUGGAGAUAGCUGACCCAACAAUCUGGCUGCAUGGAGAACCAAAGGAUGAUAUGACUAGUAGAAUCCAGGAGUGCUUGGUUUCUGUCUUCAGGCUUGGCAUAUCCUGCUCAAAGACACAGCCUCGAGAGCGGAUGUUGAUAAGAGAUGCAGCGGUAGAGAUGCAUGCAAUCAGAGAUGCGUACCUCGUGUUUGCUGGUUAG
rnacentral:rRNA from 1 species